CACCUUUGCUCUUUGAACGUCUCAAUUUGCCAGUCCCCACUCCCACUUUGCCCCAUCUUGCUCCAAGGCUGGCAAACUUUGCUGGAGAAAACCACAAAAGUACUGAUGGAGCUGUCUGCCACUUGUGUCUGUCUUGGCCUGGACCUCAGUGGCAUUAGUCAUCUGUAUGAGGAGAAAUGGCCAUAGGUCCUUUUCGUGGCAGAUGAUGGGAGUAAUCACUACUGUGCAUGCUUGCUGUGACAUUGCAGGGCCAUUCCUCAAGACAUCCACCCUGGCUCUCCUUCAGAAGACUGGCUCUGGCUCUGACAUCUGCCUCAGAAAAUGUUUGCUGACCCCUGACCUAGAAGCUGUGAGGGCUGGUGGAGGAAAUCUUGUGAAGGAGUGAAGAACAAUUCCUGGAGUGACCCUGACACCAGUGGGAAGCAAACAGGAAGAAGCAAAUCCCUUCUUCCUCCUCCAGCCUCCAGUGUCCCUCCAGCAUCCUCAGGGCCUCCUAGAGCCUAACAGGGAGCAGCUGCAGAGUGGAAAUAUGUGGUGUUCAGAGUCUUAGCUCCAACACCACAUAGUAGGGGUUACCAGGCUGAGCUGCAGUUGCUUAAUCAGCAGCACACGUCCCAGUUAUUCACAGGAGAAGAGAGUCUUCAUAACUGUGAUGCUAAAGCAUGCCAGGAGGAUAUUAUCACCCACUCACCACUAAGAACCAGCUCCUUGUUGCCACCUGAGCAGGAAAUGAUCCAAGACUGAGGAUCUGCUGCCUGGACCCCUUCUAAUACCAACUGUCUUAGUGUGGGUUCCCAGAAGCCAACCCUGAGGCAAGGAUUUGAGUGAAGUGGUUUAUUUGGGAGGUAGAGGGACAAAUAAAGCAUGUGUUGCCAGCCAGCUACCACCAUGGGUGACUGCAGGGAAGCUCUCACCUCCAGCACAGCAGCAAGUACCUCACAGGCUUUCGAGCUUGGUGAGGUAGUCCCAGGCAGAUCGCAGGGAGACAG
rnacentral:lncRNA from 1 species